ensembl:lncRNA
GGUUCAGUGUGCUCUGGCUGUCGGGUAAACUACAACUCCCACUACGGCGAGCCAGAUGAAGGGGCGGGGCUAAGAAGCAGCGUCCGUGCGUGCCUCAGAACGGCGGCCAUUUUGAGAGCGGGCUGCGCGACGGGAGGGAAUAGAAAAGGCGGCCAUCUUGAGAGCGGGCUGCGAGGGAAAGUUGGCCGCCAGUUUCUAAGAUGGCGGCGCCGGCUUCCUUUUCUGGUCCUCCUCCGGUUUUCUCCUGAGGUCGAGGCCUCCGUUUCUCCCUCAUCUAAAGGACGCUUUCGAAGAUGGCUUCUUUGCUGCGGCUUCUCCUCCGGGGAAGCUUCCGGAGGUUGGGGCCGAGGGCUUUUCUUGGGCACGGUGCUCUUCGCGGCGUCGGCUCAGGGGCGCCUCUCAGGAAAGGCCCCGGCUGCGGCCUUCAGGGCCUUCUCUCGCAGCUGCUUUCCCCCAAAUCUGGAGAACUCACUCAGUCUGUGCUGAAAAGGCAAACGACUCCCGUCCUCCUCUGGAAACUUCUCAGUGAGUAAGAAAAUUAUUUUUCUUUGCCUUAACAACAACGUGAUCUUUUCCCACAGUUUUUUCUUGCCCUUCCAAAGACCAAAGCGUCAGCCAUUGUUCUCUUCCUUCUGCCCGCUCUUCAGUUUCCUCUCUUCAUGUGUUUUCUGCGCACAGAUCACAGCACAACCUUAAGCUCCCACAAGGUUAAUUUCUUAACUCAGAAUGCGAUUGGGGGCUAAAUUGCUUUCCCCAAAAGAUGAGGACUUUUUCUAUGGAAACCACACUCAGGGUGCAUCUGCACUGUAGACUUAAUGCAGUUUAACAGUGCUUUAACUUUAGUAAAAGGCUUUGAAAUCAUGUAUCUUCUUAGGCCUGACCCCCGUUUUACCCAUAGUGGUUGAUGUCUGUAUUAUUAUUUUAUUUGCUUGGUUAUUUAUGUCUUAUUGUAUGCAAUGUUUUUAAUUGAUUAUUUUAUAUGACUGUUGUAUCUUUGUUCUAAAUUUUUGCCAUGUAUUUUAAACUGUUUAUACUUUGUUUCUGUUUGGGCUGUGCCCCCAUGUUAGCCACCCGAGUCCCUUCGGGGAGAUGGUGGCGGGAUAGAAAAAAUAAAGUAUUAUAUUAUUAUUAACUGCCAUGGCUCACUGCUAUGGCAUCACAGUAAAUGCUAAAGUGCUAGUGCCACACUACACUCUAAAUCCCAGAGCUCCAUAGCAUUGAGCCAUAGCCGUUAAAGUGGUGCCAAACUACAUUCAUUCUACGGUGUAGAUCAGGCAUGGGCAAACUUCGGCCCUCCGGGUGUUUUGUACUUUAACUCCCACAAUUCCUAACAGCCCAAAAACCUGGCUGGUGUUUUGAAGUCCAAAACACCUGGGGGGGGGGCGAAGUUUCCCCAUGCCUGGUGUAGAUGCACCCUCAGCAGUUAGAGAUAGUUUUCUCAGGUCCAGAUCUGUCCCAACACACAGAGGGAUUCAGUCAUUUGCCUUCCCCAGAUCUGCCUUUACACAUUCUCAGUUGAAGUUUUGAAAGCAACACUGCAAGAUGUAAACAUGCCUGUAACAAAGCAUACACAAGAAAGCCAGAGCUGACU